UCAGUAACGGCGAGUGAAGCGGCAACAGCUCAAAUUUGAAAUCUGGUCACCUUACGGAGGCCCGAGUUGUAAUUUGAAGAGGAUGCUUUUGGCGAGGUGCCUUCCGAGUGCCCUGGAACGGGACGCCACAGAGGGUGAGAGCCCCGUAUGGUUGGACACCGAGCCUAUGUAAAGCUCCUUCGACGAGUCGAGUAGUUUGGGAAUGCUGCUCAAAAUGGGAGGUAAACCCCUUCUAAAGCUAAAUAUUGGCCAGAGACCGAUAGCGCACAAGUAGAGUGAUCGAAAGAUGAAAAGCACUUUGAAAAGAGAGUUAAACAGCACGUGAAAUUGUUGAAAGGGAAGCGCUUGCGACCAGACUUGCGCCCGUCGGAUCAACCGUCGCUUGUCGGCGGCGCACUCCGGCGGGCUCAGGCCAGCAUCAGUUUUCCCGGGGGGAGAAAGGCGGUGGGAAUGUAGCUCCUAGGAGUGUUAUAGCCCGCCGCGUAAUACCCUCGGGGGGACUGAGGACCGCGCAUCUGCAAGGAUGC
rnacentral:rRNA from 1 species